CGCCCACUGUCGCCAAAAUGUCUACAAGUGCACCUGCAGGUUCAAGUGCUGCCUCUGGCAGCAACCGAAGACUUCAGCAGACACAAAAUCAAGUAGAUGAGGUGGUGGACAUCAUGAAAGUCAAUGUGGACAAUGUGUUGGAAAGAGAUCAGAAGCUCUCGGAGUUAGACGAUCAUGCAGACCCGCUGAAGGCAGGAGCGUCCCAGUUUGAAACAAUUGCUGCCAAGUUGAAGAGAAAAUAUUGGUGGAAGAAUUGCAAGAUGUGGGUGAUAGGGAUUGUCGUUGUGGUCAUCAUCAUCAUCAUUGUGUGGAAUGUUUCCCCGUGAAGAACCAGUGCAGCCCCAGCCUGCCAUUCAAGAAAGCUCUUCAAGA